UACGUAGGCAGCAAGCGUUGUUCGGAGUUACUGGGCGUAAAGAGUAUGUAGGCGGUUGCGUAAGUUCGGUGUGAAAUCUCCCGGCUUAACUGGGAGGGUGCGCCGAAAACUGCGUGGCUUGAGUGCGGGAGAGGAGAGCGGAAUUCCUGGUGUAGCGGUGAAAUGCGUAGAUAUCAGGAGGAACACCGGCGGUGUAGACGGCUCUCUGGACCGUAACUGACGCUGAGAUACGAAAGCGUGGGGAGCAAACAGG
rnacentral:rRNA from 1 species